GACCAGGGCUCGAACCCGUGUCCCCUGCAUUGGCAGGCGGAUUCUUAACCACUGCGCCACCAGGGAAGCCCAAGUUAAAGAAUUUUUAACUUUUUUUCACUUGAGUUGUGUACUUCAUUGGUAUUUCACCUCUUAGGUUGGCCCUUAGAUUACAUCUUUUCAGGACCUCUCCGAGUGUGAAGAGCAACAGUAGGCUGACUGAACACCCUCUUUCCAGAGAAGGGGCAAAAGGGAAGAAAAAUUAGCACCACUGGCCUAAGUGUAGGUGGGGCUUGUGAGGUUUAGGAAGUUGCUCCCCUCUUGUGGCCAAUCCUGGAAACAACAGCCAAGAAACGUGUUCUAGGGCCCUGUCUUUUCAUUGUUUUCCAGAUCAGCAGUCAGCAACACCUGGGAACUUGUUAGAUAUGCAAAAUCUCGGAAUUCAUCCCAGACCUGCUGAAUCAGAAAAUUUGCUGAACCCCACCCCCAAUCUCUUUUAAAAGCCCUUCAGAUGAUUCUGAGGAACGCUGCAACUUUGAAUGAGCUGCAGGCAAGGGUGGACCACCACCAAUGGCCUCACCUAUGCCAGCUAAAACUUUUCACCGGAUGCCGAUGUGGAUUUGCCAUCAUUGAACCUAGCAGACCCAUGAUGCAAACUUGGGUGUUCACGGAAGAUUGCAACGUCUUACUUGAGAAAGGACUCAAUGUAAAGCCUGUGUCGGGAGGAGUGGGGAUGAUGUGUUCCAGAACUCAAAUCCAGCCUGAUUGAGUCCUCUCAGUGCAGUGGGAUACACAAUACCCCUUUACCAUCUCCCCACCCCACGAGGAAGCAUGAACUUGGCUGGGAUGACUUCAUAAGUGCAGCUGAUCCCGUGUCAGAGUUCUGUGUGCAUGUGGAGGACCCACAAGAGGAGAGUAGAGGUGUUCUCCAGGAUAACCAGCUUUAGGUUCUCAGGCAUAAAGGGUAAUACUGGA